AUUGAACGCUGGCGGCAUGCUUCACACAUGCAAGUCGAACGGUAACAGGCCGCAAGGUGCUGACGAGUGGCGAACGGGUGAGUAAUGCAUCGGAACGUGCCCAGUCGUGGGGGAUAACUGCUCGAAAGAGCAGCUAAUACCGCAUACGAUCUAUGGAUGAAAGCGGGGGACCGUAAGGCCUCGCGCGAUUGGAGCGGCCGAUGUCAGAUUAGGUAGUUGGUGGGGUAAAGGCUCACCAAGCCAACGAUCUGUAGCUGGUCUGAGAGGACGACCAGCCACACUGGGACUGAGACACGGCCCAGACUCCUACGGGAGGCGGCAGUGGGGAAUUUUGGACAAUGGGGGCAACCCUGAUCCAGCAAUGCCGCGUGCAGGAAGAAGGCCUUCGGGUUGUAAACUGCUUUUGUACGGAACGAAACGGUCUGGGUUAAUACCCUGGGCUAAUGACGGCACCGUAAGAAUAAGCACCGGCUAACUACGUGCCAGCCGCCGCCGUAAAAC
rnacentral:rRNA from 1 species